AUUGAACGCUGGCGGCAUGCCUUACACAUGCAAGUCGAACGGCAGCACGGGUGCUUGCACCUGGUGGCGAGUGGCGAACGGGUGAGUAAUAUAUCGGAACGUACCUUAUUGUGGGGGAUAACGCAGCGAAAGCUGUGCUAAUACCGCAUAAUCCCUAAGGGGGAAAGCGGGGGACCGUAAGGCCUCGCGCAAUUAGAGCGGCCGAUACCUGAUUAGCUAGUUGGUGGGGUAAAGGCUCACCAAGGCAACGAUCAGUAGCUGGUCUGAGAGGACGAUCAGCCGCACUGGGACUGAGACACGGCCCAGACUCCUACGGGAGGCAGCAGUGGGGAAUUUUGGACAAUGGGGGCAACCCUGAUCCAGCAAUGCCGCGUGAGUGAAGAAGGCCUUCGGGUUGUAAAGCUCUUUUGUCAGGGAAGAAACAGCAGCUCUAACACAGUUUGCGAAUGACGGUACCUGAAGAAUAAGCACCGGCUAACUACGUGCCAGCAGCCGCAGUAA
rnacentral:rRNA from 1 species